UAUAUAUAUAUAUAUAUAUAUAUAUAUAUAUAUAUAGAUAUAUAUAUAUAUUUAUAUAUAUAUUAAAUGUUGAAUUAAAAGAAUUAGCAGGUCAAUAUCUUUUGUGUAAUUAAAAGUAAAAAAAAUUCUUAAAGAGUUUACAUCCGGAUGUUAUUAUUAAUAUUAUUAUUUAUGUAAAUUAUUAUAUAUCUAUAUAUGUAUGGGUGUAUAUGUAUAUAUGUAUGUAUGUAUACGUUGAAAAACAAUUUUCACAUCGAGUCGACACUGGCAUCGGAAUAUACAAGGUUGCUAAAAUUGCGUGAAAAAGAAAGAUAUAUAUGUAAUAAUAUUUCCAUAUUAACGAGAAAUAUCUUCCUCCUCCACUCUUGCCCCGCUCCACUUUCCUUUUUCGCGAAUGAUCUCGAUCAUUUUAGUACCUGUUAUAUUCAAAGUUAGAUCUCAAUACUUUGUCCCGCUUAAGAUUUUUAAUGAAAAAGAAGAAAAAAAAAGUAUAAUAAUAAUACCAAUAGAUAAAAACAAAUAAAUAAACAAAUAAAAAUAAGUCAGAGAGCGGAUCAAUGUCUUCUGUAAACUAUUCUAGUUAAAGUAGAAAGUUCCUAGAAAGUGUACAGCCGAUUAUUAUUAUUAUUAUUAUUAUUGUUAUUAUUAUUAUUAUGACAAUUAUUGUUAUUUAUUAUUUAUUAAUUAAUGAUAAUUAUAAUAUUAGUCCACCUAGCGGUGAAAUAGUACAAAGAAAAGCCACGUCGUAGACGUAUCAUGACAUAUGGAUGUAAGGAAGCUGAUUAGUUGAUUAGAUAGUAAAGAAAUACUGAUGUUUCUUUUUGGCAUAUAUUAAAUUUUUAUUAUAACAAACGGGCAAACAAAAAUUCUAAAAAAAGUAUAAUUGUUAAUCUAAAAAAAUGUCUAUUAACUUCUGCCAAAACUAUAUCUAAUUUUAUUUUAUUCCAAUAUCGUACCUUUCAUUUAACAUAUUAAUUUCUUUGAUAUAUGAUCAAAAAUAUUUUAUGAUACAUCAAAGUAUUUCGUACACUAUCUGAUCAAACCAGGUUGAUCGAUCAUCUAAAAUGAUUAUUUUCUUGGCCUUGUGAGGCCUACUCUUCUGUAACUGUAAGAUUCAAUAGUAUGUGAAAAAAGAAUAAAAUUGCAAGAAAGAAAAGAAAGUUCUUUUUCAUUACAUAUUGUAUAUAUACAAAAUGGUCCAAAAUAACUGGCGAUAAUUUCAGAGCUUGCUAAUGACGUGAAUCAUUAAUUACUUUUCUUUUUAUUUUAUUAAUAAAUAACAAGUAGAAAAAUAUAUUUUAUAAUGUUCUAUAUGAUCACCUUUACAUUUCAAAUAAAAGCGUCAAAACGCUUUUCAAAAUUUUUGAUGAUCCUUGCACAUUCUUCCACGAUUAUUUCGUGUUAAGCCUUUUCUAAUGUCUUUUUAUGUUGUUUGAAAUUUAUUUUAAAUGGGAAAGUUUUUGAAGUUGAUAAUGAAAUAGCAGUUACUUUUUAUCAUCCUGUAUAAAAAAGAGCACAUCAUAUCCCUCAUUGAAUCAUAAAAAAAUGUCAUUUGUAGAUUAGCAGAAUAGUUUAACAAUAUUAUAUGCCAGGGAUUUACUUUAUUGGAAUGUCAUUUACUAUACAAGAAUAUAAUCACAUAUUUUGAGUUACAGUGAAGGCAAUCAUACAAUCGGAGUAUUACAAGCGUACUUUUUUCAUUUUUUUUUUUAUCAUCGAUCCGUUAUUGUGUCAAAUGUUGAAGUAGAUUAACUCGAAGCUGGUGGUGCUGUAUUUACAGUUUCGGUAGUUGUACUUGCACUGUCGGAUGCGAUUGGUUUCUCUUGAAGCUCUAACCAUGGUAAUCGUUUUUGCAACUCGAGUCUAUUUAAUAAAAUUGUUAUUUAAUUAAUUAAAUAAAUAAUUAAUUAAAAAUUAUAUGAUAAAUGAUAAAAAGCUUAAUCUUUAACUUCUAAAUAUUUCUUUUUUUAUUAUUUAUAUAUUUUCACACACAUCCACACACACACACACACGCAUUACCUGUAUUUUGGAUGACUGAUCGCAUAAACAUAUGGAUCAAUACAGGCAACACUUUUGCAAAAGCAUGCAGGUAUCAUAGUAACACCGGGAGUAAGCAACGCUUUGUUUCCAAAUGCACCGAUCAUAGCAAGUACUGCGUAUGGUGUCCAUGCGGCAACAAAUAGGAAACAAAUCGUAAUAGCAGCCUACAAAAUUAAAAAAAAUGUGUUAACUCGUUCUAACGGAAGAUAUCUAACAAAGUGUUGAUUAAAUUUAAUAUAUAUAUAUGUAUACCUUCGCUAUACGAAUUUCAGCAGAUUGAGCAUUCUGAUUGGCGUUACUUCGUAAACUUUCAACGUUCAUCUUCUUUGCUUGUUCUCGAAGAGCCUUUUCGUGAUUAACAACAUGACUAACAAUUUGACUGUAAUAAUAUAUAAUAAGUGACAUUGGUAAACAAUAGGAGAAAAUAAAUAAAGUUAAAACGAAAUAUCUUGUUUCAGCGGUGUCGGUUAAAUAAUCAAAAGAACAGCUUGUAAGAAAUCCUUCAGGUACAUAACGACCCCAAACACCCAUCGCAGGCAUUAAUACCCAAGGCAAAACGUAAACCCAAAUUAAUCCGACGAAGAGGAUCACUUGACCACGUGAUAAUUUUCCAUCCAAUGGUCUGGCUAUGGUACUGAUUAAUAAAAUAAUAUUAAUAUAUCUAUUAAGUUAUUUCAUUUGAAAAAAAAAAAAAAAGAAAAGAAUUAUUUAUAUUACCUGUAUCUAUCAUAUGCUAUCGCAGCAUUAGUUACCGCUGCACCAAUGCCAGACAAUGAACCAAUCGUAGCAAAAAUCUGGCAUGCCAGAUUGCCCAAAGCAAAGCCCGUGUUAAAUGAAUUGUAUAUAAAAAUUGGUGUCUUCAUCAUCAUGGCAAAAUCGCAAAUCGCAAGAUUCACAACGAACAUGUUCGAGGGAGUCCUCAAGGAUUUGGCACUAUCACAAAUUAAGGAGAAAAAAAAAAACAAAAAGAAAAGAAAUAAAUAAAAAUAAAUAAAAAAGAUAAGAGAAAGAAAUAGAAAAAGAACAAAAUUUAUUAAGAAAUUACUCAAAGGAAAUUGAAAAGGAAAUUGCGUUGAUAUAAAUUAGCUAAAGAAAAUUUGGGAAAAAAAAAAAACAAGAAAAAUAUGAAUGUUUUAACUUACGCGCAAAAUAUCCAUAUGACGAGACCAUUGCCAAGUAAAGCAAUGAAUGUGAAUAAUAUAUAUAACAGGGCCAGCAUAUAAUGAAGGGAGGGAUUGGGCUCAGGAAAGACCAGCCAAUGUUCCGGUACAUGUACCAAUUCUUCGGCAGGGACGUUCCAUCCCAAUAGGCGUGGUGGACCUGCUGGUAGAACUCUCGCCUCCCAAUGAAUACUGUCGUUGAACAUGUUGGUGGUCACCGUCUACCAGUCCCUCACCUUGUUUUUGAAUUAACCAAGAUGUGGCCUUAUAUACCAUAUCCGUCAAAUUAAAUCCAUGAAACCUUUAAUCAGCAUGAAGAUAUGGCUUCAUUUGAGGAUCAGCUACGGAUCAUCCCUUGAUUACCGUUGGUCAGCAAGAGCAAGCUUCAAAGUCAAAUCAAUCGAUUUCGAAUUAUAGUAUACAUUUUUAUCUUCAUUGCUGUUGACUACUUUUUCAUAGUAUCUUAUUUUGUGUCGAUUUCGUUCCAUUUAAAUAUUCUUUGGUAUGCAUUUUUGUAUGGAAGAAAAGUAGAAAUUUAAUCCAACAAAUCGGUUCCUUUUUAAAAGAUUCUAUCUCCCUGGAUAUAUAUAUAUAUGUGUGUGUAUGUGUGUGUGUGUGUGUGUGUGUAUAUGCACAUAUACAUUGCUAGUGUUCUUAGUAUUAUGAUAAUUCUUUUUUCUUAUAUUUUACUUAAAAAUUUGAUAGAUAAAGUACAUUUGCAAUGAUUCAUUUUAUAAAUUUCUUCAUUCUGCAUUUCCACAUUUCUGCAUUCAGUUCAUAAGCAUAUUGAUCAUAUUGAACAUCCUUUUUUUUUUGUUUUGUUUUAUAAUAAAGUAUUGAGAAACUAAUGCUCGUAAUAAGAAAUAAAAUAAGAAUGAAAAAAAUAAACGUGAUAUGUUGGAUAAAUGAUGAAAGUAAGAAACUCUAUGAAACUAUAAUUGAAACUAAUUUUUAUAAAAUUGAAACUAAUAAAUGUUAAUGUCAUUCCCUUCCUUGUCUUUCAGCAGAUAUGUCGCUUAAAGUAUAUGCUGGUAAAUAAUUAGAUGGAUUUUGAGGAUCCUUCAAUAAAGGAUUCGGCAGUGUUGUUGUUUUAGUGCCGAUACUUGUGUAACCCUUGUCAUAUAAUGAACAAUAUGGUACUUUGUGUUUAAGUAAAAAUCGCCACACUUGGCUAUAGGUCCAGUAUAAUAUUGGAUUGACUCUCAUUAUGUUUGGCCAUCCUGAAUCGGUAACAGUAAAUGCUUUUAAUUUUUCUGACCCAGGAUCUCCUUUCCUCAUACCCAUUAGACUUGCUUUUAAGUAGUAUUUGUCAUGUAUAAGUUCAUCCAAUGCUAAACGCAAUGGUGGUUCCUUUCUAAUUAAUUCUAAACCGUAAUAAUUAGCUGCUUCUUCUACGAAUGCUUCCACCUAUAAAAACAUACCAAUAGUAUUCAAGUUAUGUUUCAUAUUUGCUAUAUGAAUAGACUUAAAUAUAUUUAUACCUCUGAAAAUGGAUCAGCUGCUACGUAUAAACAUAAUGGAGAAGAAAUUUUGCGUAAUGCACAAAUACAAGCAGCUAAAUGUAACACAACUGUACAAUCCUUUCCACCAUUGAAACUUAGAAAAAUUUCAUUUGAAUCGUAUCUAUAAAAAAUAUAUUACAAGUACGUACAUACUUAAGCGAUUAUCUGUAACGAUGAACUUACUUGUCAUAACAUUGUUUCAAAAUGUCAAUUGCACACUGCACAUGUUCCUCGCUAUGGCUAUUAUUAAUAACAAGUUCUGCUUGUUCAAUACUAAAUCUUUCUUUUACAUUAUGAAUGAUAUGAGUUGGAAUACAUGAAAUUAAUUCUUGUUUUGCUUUAAUGACAUCGUUUUCAAGCCCUUCAAAUGUAAUUCUUACAGUAGGAUUCACAAAACUUGAUUCUCCCUGAGGAUAACUUCCUAUAUUCACUUUAUCUUUCCAACGUUGCGCUUGUUCAUCCAAUAUCUUUACUAAUGAUAAUUCAUCUGAUUCAAUAUCAAUAUAAUCAAAAUGUAAUGGAUUACCUUUCUUCAAUUUAGGCAUUAUUGUAUCUACUGCAGGUUUAAAAUAUUUUGGAGAACCAGGAAGAACAUAAAUAUUCGAGAUUUUGAUUACUGCAUAAUCAUCUAAAAAAAAUACGAAACUUAUGCUUUCCCAAGACUACUACUAUUUAACGACUGAUUUAUAUUCACAAAAUCUUCCCAAUAAGUAACUGUGUAUAAAAAUUCAACAACUCUUGAUGUAACUCAAGUUUUACUUUUAAUGCUUGCGCAAUCCCUUCGUACGUAACAUCAUCGUGCGUAGGACCAACUCCACCAGAUGUAAAAACAAUAGAAUAUUUUUUGGAUGCCUCAGA